rnacentral:misc_RNA from 1 species
GCGAAAGGGGGGGGACAGUUGUAACACCCGAAGUCGGUGAGGUAACCGUGAGGGGCAGCCGCCUAAGGUGGGAUAGAUGAUUGGGGUGAAGUCGUAACAAGGUAGCCGUAUCGAAGGUGCGGCUGGAUCACCUCCUUUCUAAGGAUAAGGAACUGCGCAUUGGUCUUGUUUAGUCUUGAGAGGUCUUGUGGGGCCUUAGCUCAGCUGGGAGAGCGCCUGCUUUGCACGCAGGAGGUCAGCGGUUCGAUCCCGCUAGCCUCCAUUGGUGAGAGAUCACCAAGUAAUGCACAUUGAAAAUUGAAUAUCUAUAUCAAAUAGUAACAAGAAAAUAAACCGAAAACGCUGUAGUAUUAAUAAGAGUUUAUGACUGAAAGGUCAGAAAAUAAGGUUAAGUUAAUAAGGGCGCACGGUGGAUGCCUUGGCACUAGGAGCCGACGAAGGACGUGACAACGACGAUAUGCCUUGGGUAGCUGUAAGUAGCGAUGAUCCAGGGAUUUCCAACAGGGAAAAACACACAAAAGGCCGGGGAAGUUUUCCACAGGCCGGGGGGAGCGUUUUUCCCAGGCCCCGGCCACCAAAUCACCAACCCGGGGAUUUUUUAAAUAAUUCCCAUUUCUUUUUCCUUUCUAUAAGAAAAACAAUUAGAAAGUGGGGGGGUGGUUUGUUAUUUGUUUAUUCCUGAGUAGCAACCCAUUAUUUUUUUUAUAUUUGUAUGUAGAGACGUCUGUGCGCGGGGGGUGGGGCGAGGCAUCCACCUACAAGUAUACAAUGAGAGAAGGAGAUAAGGUGAGAGUAUAAUCAGUGGGCGUCGUGCUACUACGCCGCCCUCUUUCCCCGGCCCGCUUCUUUUUUCCUACUAUUCUUCUAUUAUAUAGUGUGUAUCAGCGCAGGAGCACCUAUGAUAAUAGUGAAUUAUGGUGUUACGGUGAAGUUCCUAAUAUG